rnacentral:rRNA from 1 species
AAAUUGAAGAGUUUGAUCAUGGCUCAGAUUGAACGCUGGCGGCAGGCCUAACACAUGCAAGUCGAGCGGUAGCACAGAGAGCUUGCUCUCGGGUGACGAGCGGCGGACGGGUGAGUAAUGUCUGGGAAACUGCCUGAUGGAGGGGGAUAACUACUGGAAACGGUAGCUAAUACCGCAUAACGUCGCAAGACCAAAGUGGGGGACCUUCGGGCCUCAUGCCAUCAGAUGUGCCCAGAUGGGAUUAGCUAGUAGGUGGGGUAACGGCUCACCUAGGCGACGAUCCCUAGCUGGUCUGAGAGGAUGACCAGCCACACUGGAACUGAGACACGGUCCAGACUCCUACGGGAGGCAGCAGUGGGGAAUAUUGCACAAUGGGCGCAAGCCUGAUGCAGCCAUGCCGCGUGUGUGAAGAAGGCCUUCGGGUUGUAAAGCACUUUCAGCGGGGAGGAAGGCGGUGAGGUUAAUAACCUCAUCGAUUGACGUUACCCGCAGAAGAAGCACCGGCUAACUCCUGCCAGCAGCCGCGGUAAUACGGAGGGUGCAAGCGUUAAUCGGAAUUACUGGGCGUAAAGCGCACGCAGGCGGUCUGUCAAGUCGGAUGUGAAAUCCCCGGGCUUAACCUGGGAACUGCAUUCGAAACUGGCAGGCUAGAGUCUUGUAGAGGGGGGUAGAAUUCCAGGUGUAGCGGUGAAAUGCGUAGAGAUCUGGAGGAAUACCGGUGGCGAAGGCGGCCCCCUGGACAAAGACUGACGCUCAGGUGCGAAAGCGUGGGGAGCAAACAGGAUUAGAUACCCUGGUAGUCCACGCCGUAAACGAUGUCGAUUUGGAGGUUGUGCCCUUGAGGCGUGGCUUCCGGAGCUAACGCGUUAAAUCGACCGCCUGGGGAGUACGGCCGCAAGGUUAAAACUCAAAUGAAUUGACGGGGGCCCGCACAAGCGGUGGAGCAUGUGGUUUAAUUCGAUGCAACGCGAAGAACCUUACCUGGUCUUGACAUCCACAGAACUUUCCAGAGAUGGAUUGGUGCCUUCGGGAACUGUGAGACAGGUGCUGCAUGGCUGUCGUCAGCUCGUGUUGUGAAAUGUUGGGUUAAGUCCCGCAACGAGCGCAACCCUUAUCCUUUGUUGCCAGCGGUCCGGCCGGGAACUCAAAGGAGACUGCCAGUGAUAAACUGGAGGAAGGUGGGGAUGACGUCAAGUCAUCAUGGCCCUUACGACCAGGGCUACACACGUGCUACAAUGGCAUAUACAAAGAGAAGCGACCUCGCGAGAGCAAGCGGACCUCAUAAAGUAUGUCGUAGUCCGGAUUGGAGUCUGCAACUCGACUCCAUGAAGUCGGAAUCGCUAGUAAUCGUAGAUCAGAAUGCUACGGUGAAUACGUUCCCGGGCCUUGUACACACCGCCCGUCACACCAUGGGAGUGGGUUGCAAAAGAAGUAGGUAGCUUAACCUUCGGGAGGGCGCUUACCACUUUGUGAUUCAUGACUGGGGUGAAGUCGUAACAAGGUAACCGUAGGGGAACCUGCGGUUGGAUCACCUCCUUA